rnacentral:rRNA from 1 species
AUUGAACGCUGGCGGCAUGCUUUACACAUGCAAGUCGAACGGCAGCGCGGGGGCAACCCUGGCGGCGAGUGGCGAACGGGUGAGUAAUGCAUCGGAACGUAUCCUGUAAUGGGGGAUAACGUAGCGAAAAGUUACGCUAAAUACCGCAUACGCUCGAGAGAGGAAAGUGGGGAUCGCAAAGACCUCACGUUAUAGGAGCGGCCUAUGUCCGAUUAGCUAGUUGGUGGGGUAAAGGCCUACCAAGGCGACGAUCGGUAGCUGGUCUGAGAGGAUGAUCAGCCACACUGGGACUGAGACACGGCCCAGACUCCUACGGGAGGCAGCAGUGGGGAAUUUUGGACAAUGGGCGAAAGCCUGAUCCAGCCAUGCCGCGUGCGGGAAAGAAGGCCUCGGUUGUAACGUACGUUA